UCAUUUCUACUCGGACUCUAUCCGAGGUCUGCGGCUUGAAAAGCCGCCGUUAACUAACCCUUAACUAUAGAAAC
rnacentral:tRNA from 1 species